rnacentral:rRNA from 1 species
GAAUUCGCCCUUAGUUUGAUCCUGGCUCAGGAUGAACGCUGGCGGCGCGCCUAACACAUGCAAGUCGAACGAGCGAGAGAGAGCUUGCUUUCUCAAGCGAGUGGCGAACGGGUGAGUAACGCGUGAGGAACCUGCCUCAAAGAGGGGGACAACAGUUGGAAACGACUGCUAAUACCGCAUAAGCCCACGGCUCGGCAUCGAGCAGAGGGAAAAGGAGCAAUCCGCUUUGAGAUGGCCUCGCGUCCGAUUAGCUAGUUGGUGAGGUAACGGCCCACCAAGGCGACGAUCGGUAGCCGGACUGAGAGGUUGAACGGCCACAUUGGGACUGAGACACGGCCCAGACUCCUACGGGAGGCAGCAGUGGGGAAUAUUGCACAAUGGGGGAAACCCUGAUGCAGCGACGCCGCGUGGAGGAAGAAGGUCUUCGGAUUGUAAACUCCUGUUGUUGAAGAAGAUAAUGACGGUACUCAACAAGGAAGUGACGGCUAACUACGUGCCAGCAGCCGCGGUAAAACGUAGGUCACAAGCGUUGUCCGGAAUUACUGGGUGUAAAGGGAGCGCAGGCGGGAAGACAAGUUGGAAGUGAAAUCCAUGGGCUCAACUCAUAAACUGCUUUCAAAACUGUUUUUCUUGAGUAGUGCAGAGGUAGGCGGAAUUCCCGGUGUAGCGGUGGAAUGCGUAGAUAUCGGGAGGAACACCAGUGGCGAAGGCGGCCUACUGGGCACCAACUGACGCUGAGGCUCGAAAGUGUGGGUAGCAAACAGGAUUAGAUACCCUGGUAGUCCACACUGUAAACGAUGAUUACUAGGUGUUGGAGGAUUGACCCCUUCAGUGCCGCAGUUAACACAAUAAGUAAUCCACCUGGGGAGUACGACCGCAAGGUUGAAACUCAAAGGAAUUGACGGGGGCCCGCACAAGCAGUGGAGUAUGUGGUUUAAUUCGACGCAACGCGAAGAACCUUACCAAGUCUUGACAUCCUGCGACGGUGCUGGAAACAGUACUUUCCUUCGGGACGCAGAGACAGGUGGUGCAUGGUUGUCGUCAGCUCGUGUCGUGAGAUGUUGGGUUAAGUCCCGCAACGAGCGCAACCCUUAUGGUCAGUUACUACGCAAGAGGACUCUGGCCAGACUGCCGUUGACAAAACGGAGGAAGGCGGGGAUGACGUCAAAUCAUCAUGCCCUUUAUGACUUGGGCUACACACGUACUACAAUGGCGUUAAACAAAGAGAAGCAAGACCGCGAGGUGGAGCAAAACUCAGAAACAACGUCCCAGUUCGGACUGCAGGCUGCAACUCGCCUGCACGAAGUCGGAAUUGCUAGUAAUCGCAGAUCAGCAUGCUGCGGUGAAUACGUUCCCGGGCCUUGCACACACCGCCCGUCA